UACGUAGGAGGCAAGCGUUGUCCGGAUUUACUGGGCGUAAAGCGUGCGCAGGCGGCUGCUCAAGUCAGGGGUGAAAGCCCAGAGCUCAACUCUGGAAUUGCCUUUGAGACUGAGUGGCUUGAGUACGGGAGAGGUGAGUGGAAUUCCCAGUGUAGAGGUGAAAUUCGUAGAUAUUGGGAAGAACACCGGUGGCGAAGGCGGCUCACUGGCCCGUAACUGACGCUCAUGCACGACAGCGUGGGGAUCAAACAGG
rnacentral:rRNA from 1 species